GCCUAUUCAUGUACCCUUUUGCUGUCCAUUUUUCAUGGUUGGUUCAUAGAGGAUAACAGCCUAUUAAAUCUGACCCCAGCAGAAUUGUUCAAAAAGUGGUCCCUUCAGACCCUCAAAGGCAAUAAGAAAACUAUGGAACAUCUCCCAGCACACUGAAACAUGUUUAUGCACACUUCUCUAGCAAGACAACAUCAGUACUGCAAUCUAAAGAGUCCUGUUGUCAGAGAAAGGUUAUAUGUUACAAAGCUGACAAGAAUUUCUGUAUGCUGGAGCAGGAAUGUGUUCUUUCACUGGUUUUAUAAAUAUUUCUUCAGCCUUAAUGUAUUUUUUUUAUAACAGUGAACCCUGGUACAACAAUGAUAAAAUUUUCAUUUGUAUCUGGUGAGGCAGACAAAAAAAUUGAUGAUAGUCUAUAAGGCCCAUAAUUUAUGAGCUAAUAACUGUAAUACAAGCAUAACCACAACCUAAAAUUCAUGAGAAUUAUACAUACAGUCAUCUAGGACUUAGUGGCCAAAGGAGCUUCUUACUUUUGGAAUUAAACUGGUGUAAAACAUAAGGUAA